rnacentral:rRNA from 1 species
ACUCCUACGGGAGGCAGCAGUGAGGAUCUUCCACAAUGGACGAAGUCUGAUGGAGCGACACCGCGUGAAGGAUGAAGGCCUAACGGUUGUAAACUUCUUUCUGAAGGAGCAUAAUGAGAGUACUUCAGGAAUAAGGGACGGCUAAAUACGUGCCAGCAGCCGCGGUAAUACGUAUGUCUCGAGCGUUUACCGGAAUCACUGGGUGUAAAGGGUUCGUAGGCGGUUUAUAAGUUGGAUAUGAAAGACCGGAGCUCAACUUCGUGUUUGUGUUCAAAACUGUUAAACUAGAAUCAGGGAGAGGUAAGUAGAAUUCUAAGUGUAGGGGUGCAAUCCGUAGAUACUUAGAGGAAUACCAAAAGCGAAGGCAACUUACUGGAACUGUAUUGACGCUGAGGACGAAGCGUGGUAGCGAAAAGGAUUAGAUACCCUGGUAGCGUCG